GGAGGGCGGGAUGUGGAACACACCUGAGCAACACGUCUCGAAGAACGCCAGUUAUGGAACAGGCCUAGACUCGUGCAGGUAUCUAGCAGGAAUUCCAUCUGCGCCUGCACCUAGGACCGAGACUUGCCCUUGAGCAGCCAGUCAUCCAGGUCUUGCAUCAGGGACUGGGAUUCCAUGGACAGCCCCAACAGCGAAACCCACGACGCCCGUCGCAUGGAGACAGCCAAGGCCAUCGAACAUGCCGCUGUGUCAGCCGCAUCUGAGGCCGCCUGGAGAGCUGCUUUCGCCGCUGCCGCACCCUUGUUGACUAGAGCCUUGAAUUCCUUCCUGUCCUUCUCUUGGAAGGAGAGCUUGAAUUUAGGCAGAGACCCCAACAAGUUAAAGCCAUACCUGCUCAGGAGUGCCUGAUGGUUUGCCACCCUGAGCUGGAAACUCGCAGAGGAAUAAACC